GGGGGAUAUGAUGAUUUCAAAUCCAUAGUUUUUUUUCUGCAUAUUAAUGAUGAUCAAACAAAACAUGCACUACCAUCUGAUCCCUC